AUGGAAACCGACUGUCUGGAGAUCGUUAAUCUCUGGAACACUCGCAUCAACAGUCAUUCUGUUGUGGCACCAGUAUUCUUCGAAAUUGAGGAGCUUGCUGUUUUUGAUUCUUUUGUAAUAUCUCAUGUAAGCAGAUCAGCUAAUGGUCCAACACAUCUCUGGGCGCAACGGACAUGUAACGCGUCUGUAACCGAGAGUUGGAUCUCUGAAACUCCAAGUUUUCUGGUUAGUAGCCUCAUGGCGACUUUUAUUUGA
rnacentral:rRNA from 1 species